rnacentral:rRNA from 1 species
UAGAUGCGAGAGUAGAGCAUAUCAAUAAGCGGAGGAAAAGAAACUAACAAGGAUUCCCUUAGUAACGGCGAGUGAAGCGGGAAGAGCUCAAAUUUGAAAUCUUCAAGGUUCUACCUUGACGAAUUGUAGUUUAAAGAAGUGUUUUCUGUUAGAUGAGUAGCAAAAGUUCCUUGGAAUGGGACAUCAUAGAGGGUGAGAAUCCCGUAUUUGGUUAUUCAUCCUAGCUUUGUGAUACACCUUCAAAGAGUCGGAUUGUUUGGGAAUGCAGUCCAAAAUGGGUGGUAAAUUUCAUCUAAAGCUAAAUAUUGGCGAGAGACCGAUAGCGAACAAGUACCGUGAGGGAAAGAUGAAAAGAACUUUGAAAAGAGAGUUAAACAGUACGUGAAAUUGUCAAAAGGGAAGCGUUUGACACCAGUGUUGUUUUUCCAAAAAUCAAUUACGAAUGGCUUGAUUUUGUGUUGUAUUGACCUUAUCAGCUUUCUGCACUUUUUUCGAGUCUUUCUUAAUGCACUUUUUGGUUAACAAGUCAACAUCAAUUUCUUUUGUUGUAAAAGAGUAUUCGGAAGGUGGCUUUCUUUUCGGAGAAAGUGUUUAUAGCCCUAUACUUCUACAAUCGGAGAGCUUGAGGUCUGCAGCGUAGAUCCUUCGGGGUUAGAUACAUUUGUGCUAAGUUGUAGCUUUUCAUAGACAACUUGUUGACUAUGUUUAGUCAUGCGGCUUACUCGCUUGUGCUAUUUUACCUACGCUUAGGAUGUUGAGCGCAUGUCUCUCUCU